rnacentral:rRNA from 1 species
UACGUAGGGGGCAAGCGUUAUCCGGAUUUACUGGGUGUAAAGGGAGCGUAGACGGUACGCCAAGUCUGAAGUGAAAUGCCGCAGCUUAACUGCGGAACUGCUUUGGAAACUGGCGGGCUAGAGUGCGGGAGGGGUAAGCGGAAUUCCUAGUGUAGCGGUGAAAUGCGUAGAUAUUAGGAGGAACACCGGUGGCGAAGGCGGCCUGCUGGACGGUGUACUGACGCUGAGGCUCGAAAGCGUGGGUAUCGAACAGG